UACGUAGGCAGCGAGCGUUGUUCGGAGUUACUGGGCGUAAAGCGUGCGUAGGCGGUGGUCCAAGUCUGGUGUGAAAUCUCCCGGCUCAACUGGGAGGGUGCGCCGGAAACUGGGCCGCUGGAGUACGGGAGAGGCAAGCGGAAUUCCAGGUGUAGCGGUGAAAUGCGUAGAUAUCUGGAGGAACACCCGUGGUGCAGACGGCUUGCUGGACCGUGACUGACGCUGAGGCACGAAAGCGUGGGGAGCAAACGGG
rnacentral:rRNA from 1 species